UGGUUCUGGCAUCGAUGAAGAACGCAGCGAAAUGCGAUAAGUAAUGUGAAUUGCAGAAUUCAGUGAAUCAUCGAAUCUUUGAACGCACAUUGCGCCCAUUAGUAUUCUAGUGGGCAUGCCUGUUCGAGCGUCAUUUCAACCCUUAAGCCUAGCUUAGUAUUGGGAAUCUACUGUAUUGUAGUUCCUCAAAUCCAACGGCGGAUCUGUGGUAUCCUCUGAGCGUAGUAAAUUUUUAUCUCGCUUUUGUUAGGUGCUGCAGCUCCCAGCCGCUAAACCCCCUAAUUUUUAAUGGUUGACCUCGGAUCAGGUAGGAAUACCCGCUGA
rnacentral:misc_RNA from 1 species